AAUGCCGGAUGUUCCAGUUGAUCGCAUGGUCUUCUGGGAAAGCUUUCGCGGUAUGGGAUGGGGUCGCGUCCUAUCAGCUUGACGGCGGGGUAACGGCCCACCGUGGCUUCGACGGGUAGCCGGCCUGAGAGGGCGACCGGCCACAUUGGGACUGAGAUACGGCCCAGACUCCUACGGGAGGCAGCAGUGGGGAAUAUUGCACAAUGGGCGCAAGCCUGAUGCAGCGACGCCGCGUGAGGGAUGGAGGCCUUCGGGUUGUAAACCUCUUUUAUCGGGGAGCAAGCGUGAGUGAGUUUACCCGUUGAAUAAGCACCGGCUAACUACGUGCCAGCAGCCGCGGUAAUACGUAGGGUGCAAGCGUUAUCCGGAAUUAUUGGGCGUAAAGGGCUCGUAGGCGGUUCGUCGCGUCCGGUGUGAAAGUCCAUCGCUUAACGGUGGAUCCGCGCCGGGUACGGGCGGGCUUGAGUGCGGUAGGGGAGACUGGAAUUCCCGGUGUAACGGUGGAAUGUGUAGAUAU
rnacentral:rRNA from 1 species